GUGAUACAGAAUGACGGGAAUAAUGGAUUUAAACAUUGUUGGGUAAGAACACAUUAUAAUUGUUAUGUAAAUAACUCUAAUUGUUAUAAAUUAAGAAGGUAAUAGGGUUUUUAUUUUUUAAGGUCUCGUAUAUUUAGCCGAAUGGGGCAUUUCCGCGGAAACCAUUAAACGCUUCGAAGAUAACAAUAUAUCCCUCGAAUUAAUGAAAAGUAUGAAAUCUGAAGAGCUAAAAGAACUCGUACCAAAUAUAAGAGACAGAAUUUUGUUCAAAUCUGGGUUGGAACAGCUCUACAAAGUUAUAGACGAAACGUCGACGGAAGCGGCAACAACAAGUGACAUAGAUAAUGAUGUUAUAUCAGCGCCGUGUAGUCCGUCAGGGCGUGCGUCCAGUUUAUCCAUAGUGCCCAGCUGUAACGAGAACCCGAGAUCUAGAAAAAAUCCACGCGUAAGUGUUUGAACAUUACUUAACUAAUUUAUAAAACAAAGUUCUCUGCUGCAUCUGUCUGUAUGUUCGCGAUAAACUUAAAAACGAUUGCACGGAUUUUCAUGCGGUUUUGACUUUUGACCAAUAUCAUUCGAGUAACGCGACUCUUUCUUUGGUUGGGUUUGGAGCAAAGAGGGGCUGGGACUUUGGUUUUUUUUUUACAGUGGUGUCAUUACUAAAAAAAGUGAUUAUUUCAUCAAAAUCUUUUAAAUAUAUCGUCGUCUAGUACCCACAACACAAGCCUUAUUGAGCUUACUGUGG